rnacentral:rRNA from 1 species
UACGUAGGGACCAAGCGUUGUUCGGAUUUACUGGGCGUAAAGGGCGCGUAGGCGGCAUGACAAGUCACUUGUGAAAUCUCCGGGCUUAACUCGGAACGGCCAAGUGAUACUGUCACGCUAGAGUGCAGAAAGGGCAAUCGGAAUUCUUGGUGUAGCGGUGAAAUGCUUAGAUAUGACAUAGAACACCAAUUGCGAAGGCAGCUCACUACACAAUCAUUGACGCUGAGGCACGAAAGCGUGGGGAUCAAACAGG